rnacentral:lncRNA from 1 species
ACACCCCCAGCACGCACACAAGAAAUGUAACUUAACUGAUUAUCCUCACAAAUCAGUCCGGAAAAAAUUCAAAACACAUGCACAGGAUUUAUUUUCUCAGAGGCUCUGUGGCAUGCAUUCCGGGAGGAACGUGGCAUUCAGGUCGGAGGGUUCUACGCGGAAUAGAGAAUAGAUGCAACCGUAUGAUUUGUGGUUGGAAAAGAAAGGGAACGUCUGAUGUGCUCCUUCCUCCCCUACCCUAAUGUUCAGCACUUGGAGACGGAUGGUCGGCUAAACUUAUCAUUUAACCGAGAGAAUCAAGUUGUUGAGACUGGCUUUUCUUCCAACCGGAUACGUGAUGGGUGGAGCAGGCGCCCCCUGUUCUGUCCCAGCAACCUACUAAGACUUCCGAACAGGAAGGAUUGACCUGGAAAAUGGUGUCCACAGAACUUUACAUAAGAUUAUGAAAAAUGAUACAUUGGUCUGGACAGAAGAGUAAAUUGGAAAAAUUUGUCAAUAAGCUUAUCCUGCAGGAAUGAGAAGAGGAACAAGAUCCAGCUGAACCUAGCCUCUGUUAGUUUUAAUCAUUCAGAUCUCUGUGGUGCACCUCUUUCAUUUACUGAUUUAUUGUAUUGAUAUAAGUUGAUGAACAUAUUUUGGGGUAACAUGGUAUUUUGAAACAUGUAUACAAUGUGUAAUGAUGAAAUUAGGAUAAUUGGGAUAUCCGUCAUCUCAAACAUUUAUUUUUUCUUUGUGUUGAGAACAUGCUAAUUCUUCCCUUUUAACUGUUUGGCAAUAUACAAUAACUUAUUGUUAACUCUGAUUUCCCUACUGCCAUAUCGAAUGCUAGAACUUAUUCCAUCUAUCUAGCUGUACUUUGUACCCAUUAAUGUGAAUGGGUUCUUGACAGGCACUGUCUUAAGCCCUGAAUCUAACAAGGAUGUCAUGAUGGGCAGCGUUGCUGUACUCAGGGAGGGUGUGGUCUAUAUUUUGUAAAAUGGAACUGCACGUUCCCAAAAGCAAAGGUGAGCUUAUAGACAUUUCUGAUUUUCCUCAGGCCCCGCUAUGCCUUAAUGUCAUUAAAGUACAGCCUUGGGCACGUUUGAUCAUUUAGAUUAUCUAGUUUUUCAAGUGAGGAAUGUGCUGGAAAGUCUUCUGCAGCUCUGAUUUUGUACAGUUCUAUGAUGUCUGGGAAAAAAAAUAAACCCAGAAGGAACUUCUGGAGGCCCAGAACUACUCUCCUGGCAUGGUUUCCUAUAAUAAUGUCCCACACCCAGCUGAUCCUUUAGAAGAACCUGUCCCCA